GUCACUCGAGGAUCACAGCGGACGGGAGCGGGGGAACCAAGGUCAGCGCCCGGCCGUACGCUCCCGCGUGCGCGCCGCGGCUUGGGGUGAAGCCGCCACAUCCGGCGGCCGGGCAUCCUCAGCCCGAACCCGACAGCUCACCUCGCAGGCGUCGCAGAGGACAUCC
rnacentral:sRNA from 1 species